GCUAUUUUGGCAGAAAAGUGUAGUGGUUUUAGAAAUCAUAAAUGUAUAAUAAUUUAAUUUAUAUAGGUAGUA
rnacentral:tRNA from 1 species